CCCUGUACAGGGGGAUAACAGUUGGAAACGGCUGCUAAUACCGCAUAAGCGCACGAGAGGACAUCCUCUUGUGUGAAAAACUCCGGUGGUACAGGAUGGGCCCGCGUCUGAUUAGCUGGUUGGCAGGGUAACGGCCUACCAAGGCGACGAUCAGUAGCCGGUCUGAGAGGAUGAACGGCCACAUUGGAACUGAGACACGGUCCAAACUCCUACGGGAGGCAGCAGUGGGGAAUAUUGCACAAUGGGGGAAACCCUGAUGCAGCAACGCCGCGUGAGUGAAGAAGUAUUUCGGUAUGUAAAGCUCUAUCAGCAGGGAAGAUAAUGACGGUACCUGACUAAGAAGCUCCGGCUAAAUACGUGCCAGCAGCCGCGGUAAUACGUAUGGAGCAAGCGUUAUCCGGAUUUACUGGGUGUAAAGGGUGCGUAGGUGGCAGUGCAAGUCAGAUGUGAAAGGCCGGGGCUCAACCCCGGAGCUGCAUUUGAAACUGCAUAGCUGGAGUACAGGAGAGGCAGGCGGAAUUCCUAGUGUAGCGGUGAAAUGCGUAGAUAUUAGGAGGAACACCAGUGGCGAAGGCGGCCUGCUGGACUGUUACUGACACUGAGGCACGAAAGCGUGGGGAGCAAACAGGAUUAGAUACCCUGGUAGUCCACGCCGUAAACGAAGAAUACUAGGUGUCGGGGCCGUAUAGGCUUCGGUG
rnacentral:rRNA from 1 species